rnacentral:rRNA from 1 species
AACCAGCACCUCAAGUGGUCAGGAGGAUUAUUGGGCCUAAAGCAUCCGUAGCCGGCUCUGUAAGUUUUCGGUUAAAUCCAUGUGCUCAACGCAUGGGCUGCCGAAAAUACUGCACAGCUAGGGAGUGGGAGAGGUAGACGGUACUCAGUAGGAAGGGGUAAAAUCCUUUGAUCUAUUGAUGACCACCUGUGGCGAAGGCGACUAUCUGGGCCAUUUUUGACGCUGAGGUGCGAAAGCGUGGGUAGCAAACAGG